rnacentral:miRNA from 1 species
UUGCCCACGAAGGCGCGGGUGG